GACAGAGGGUGCAAACGUUGUUCGGAAUUACUGGGCGUAAAGCGCGUGUAGGCGGCUAUGCAAGUCGGACGUGAAAUCCCUCGGCUUAACCAAGGAAGUGCAUCCGAAACUGCAGUGCUUGAGUACUUAAGAGGAUCGCGGAAUUCCCGGUGUAGAGGUGAAAUUCGUAGAUAUCGGGAGGAACACCAGUGGCGAAGGCGGCGAUCUGGGAAGAUACUGACGCUGAGGUGCGAAAGCGUGGGGAGCAAACAGG
rnacentral:rRNA from 1 species